rnacentral:rRNA from 1 species
UACGGAGGGUGCGAGCGUUGUCCGGAAUCACUGGGCGUAAAGGGCGCGUAGGUGGCGCGAGAAGUCACCGGUGAAAGCUCGACGCUCAACGUCGAGUCGGCCGACGAUACUCUCGCGCUGGAGCACUGUAGAGGCUCAUGGAAUUCCGGGUGUAGCGGUGGAAUGCGUAGAGAUCCGGAAGAACACCGGUGGCGAAGGCGGUGAGCUGGGCAGUUGCUGACACUGAGGCGCGACAGCGUGGGGAGCAAACAGG